rnacentral:rRNA from 1 species
UUUGAGAUGGCCUCUCGCCCUAUUCAGUGUAACAGCUGUGGUAGUGGGUUUGGUCGCUCGCAUUUAAAUUGGAAGGGUAAUGGUGGACCGCACUUCUCCCUUAGUAGGACGUUGCGACCUGUCAAAUAAUAUCCUAAGUAUUUGGCUAAUUUGUCUGUUUUUAGGCAGUACUGAAAGGUAUUUCCUUUAACAGUUUUAGCCGUUAACAUACUGGAUAUAAUUGACAGUAACGAAUCAUGGUGUUGAGCCACUUACUUUGUAAGUGUCCUUUAUGGCUGUUUGCAAGUGGGUUGGUUAAUUAGUUUUAGUCGGAUUUUGGUCCGUCUAACUAUUCCGCCUACUGUUGGUAAACUGUUCCUUGGACAGUGCUUAUAACACCGGUCGGCAGCGAUUCAGGUUCA